CAGAGGGGGAUAACACUUGGAAACAGGUGCUAAUACCGCAUAACAGUUUAUGCCGCAUGGCAUAAGAGUGAAAGGCGCUUUCGGGUGUCGCUGAUGGAUGGACCCGCGGUGCAUUAGCUAGUUGGUGAGGUAACGGCUCACCAAGGCCACGAUGCAUAGCCGACCUGAGAGGGUGAUCGGCCACACUGGGACUGAGACACGGCCCAGACUCCUACGGGAGGCAGCAGUAGGGAAUCUUCGGCAAUGGACGAAAGUCUGACCGAGCAACGCCGCGUGAGUGAAGAAGGUUUUCGGAUCGUAAAACUCUGUUGUUAGAGAAGAACAAGGACGUUAGUAACUGAACGUCCCCUGACGGUAUCUAACCAGAAAGCCACGGCUAACUACGUGCCAGCAGCCGCGGUAAUACGUAGGUGGCAAGCGUUGUCCGGAUUUAUUGGGCGUAAAGCGAGCGCAGGCGGUUUCUUAAGUCUGAUGUGAAAGCCCCCGGCUCAACCGGGGAGGGUCAUUGGAAACUGGGAGACUUGAGUGCAGAAGAGGAGAGUGGAAUUCCAUGUGUAGCGGUGAAAUGCGUAGAUAUAUGGAGGAACACCAGUGGCGAAGGCGGCUCUCUGGUCUGUAACUGACGCUGAGGCUCGAAAGCGUGGGGAGCAAACAGGAUUAGAUACCCUGAUAGUCCACGCCGUAAACGAUGAGUGCUAAGUGUUGGAGGGUUUCCGCCCUUCAGUGCUGCAG
rnacentral:rRNA from 1 species